UUGACCACAAACAACAGCAGUCAUCCAAAUCAGCCAUCUGCUUCAAUGCUAGCUUUUGUGUAUGUCUCAAUUGGCCUACUUCUGGCAUUAGAUUGUUAUUUAUAUUCAGUUGGGCUAUGGUACCUUCCUGUCUCAACCUAUUCACUCAUUUGCUCAUCCCAGUUGGCUUUUAAUGCUUUAUUCUCAUACUUCCUCAAUUCACUCAAGUUCACACCUUACAUAGUAAACUCUUUAAUCCUUCUCACCAUUUCCUCUACCCUUCUUGUAUUUCAAAACGAGUCAUCAUCAGAUGAUUCAGACUCCACACAAAUAUCCAAGAAAAAGUAUGUGAUUGGAUUCAUAUGCACAGUUGGUGCAUCAGCAGGGUAUGGACUAUGGCUUUCCCUCACACAGCUUGUGUUCAAGAAGGUCAUGAAAGGGGAAACAUUCCAAGUGGUCAUGGACAUGAUAAUAUACACGUCUCUUGUUGCUACCUGUGUUACUGUAGUGGGACUUUUUGCUAGUGGUGAAUGGAAUGGUUUGACGAAUGAAAUGAAUGAGUAUGAGUUGGGGAAGGCUUCAUAUGUGUUGAACCUCACUUUCACAGCCACACUUUGGCAACUCUUUACAAUUAGUUGUUUUGGACUCAUCAGAGAGGUUUCUUCCCUCUUCUCAAAUGCCAUAAGCGCUUUGGGAGUGCCUAUUGUUCCAAUAUUGGCAGUGAUAUUCUUUCAUGACAAAAUGCACGGUAUCAAGGCUAUCUCUAUGGUGCUUGCUAUUUGGGGCAUUAUAUCAUAUGUGUAUCAACAGUACAUUGAUGACACCACGUCUGAAAACACAGUCAAUAGUCACGUUGCAAAACCUUCUGUACCUGAAGAAGAGGUUCAUAGAUAAGUUAGGUAGCCUUUUUAAGUCCAAUUUUGAGACUUAGAAACUCUAUCCCUGUUUGUAUUACAGAUUUACAACACUUACAAAUAUGUAUAUAUUACAUAUCAGUAAUUGAAUUUUGAAUUUAAUGGCUUUGCAAUGUGAACCAAUAAUCGAUAACAUGACUUUUAGGAUAGCUAAUAGAAAAAGCAAGAAACUUACUGUAGAUUGUAUUUUGGAUUGAAUGAUGAUAUCAAAGUUUGGCUUUUAGGCUGCAAAUCACCAUGUUGUAACCUCUAGUUCAAUCUGUCGGAUAAUUAUUGUACUUUAACUAUAUAUAAUAAAUCUCUGGCAUACUUCAUUUGUCGAGAAUGUAGAUAAAAAGACAACGAGUAACCUAAUAAGUCCAACAUUAAAUUUAUCAUCAAUCACCAAUCAUCAUUACUAAUCUAUAGAAAUGGUUUAAAACUUUGGGCCAAGUUCUGUAUAAUUGUAAGUAAUGGUAAUUGAAGAAUGAAGUCCGUUUCUUUCUCUAGCCAAUAAAUAUGAUCUGUUCAGACUCAGGUCUAAGAGGCCACUGAGAUGCAUUGUAGAGUAAAAACAUUCACUGAGAAGAAAGGCCUGAAGUACAUAACCCAUUACCACGUUUUGUUUAUUAAUUAACAAACUAUCACAUCACAACAGAUACACCCGAAUUUAUAAUGCAAAGGGUAAAUGUAAAGGAUAAUGAUACUUUGACAACAAUUUUUUGACAACAUUUUAAUAUCAUCUGUGUCAUUCUGUCAUUGGUUCAUGGUGAUUUUUAUGAUUAUUACUAUUGAUUGUAGAAUAAUUUUGGACCAAUCACAAUGAGAUGUCGGGAAAGUAUCGUCAUUCUUAAAGGAUAAUGUCAUGCUCACACGUCCACUUCAUAAACAAAAAGUGGAGGCUAUUAUAGUGUCAGCAGUGUGUAGGCUAAAAACAUAGAGGCACCAAUCGUAAUUAUGGCAAAGUUGAGGAGGUUAAGUUGGUACACUUUCUCUUUCUAUUGAUGACAUGUAGAAAUGUAUAAGGUAUAAAUUGCAUUUUCGAAUCACCCUCCUCUUAAAUUUAUCUUCAUUUCCAAUUCCCUUCUCUGAAAACUUAUUCACCUUCCACAUGGAAGAAACACAAGAAGUGCAACACUCCCAGAAACCUUUUUCACCAUCCACAUGGCAGACCCUCAAGAAGUGCAUCUCAGCAAAAUUGGUAAGUCAACUUUUUGUCUUUCAUAUUUAAAAACAACUGUGUUAGAAGGCACAAAACUGAGUAUAAAGAUUCCUUAUAUUUCUUUUCAUGCAGCAUGCAUCAUAUUUUGUUAUCAUAUUCACUGUACCUAUUUAUGCUUAACUGUUAUUAUAGGCUAAGAAAUCUUUCCAUUUCAGUGUAUACAGAACUUACAUAUAUUUUCAAGUGUUUUAUAACUAUUAUGUCUACGUUCAAAAACCUUGGUUUGGUCCUAAUUACGAUGGUUCCUCUAGAAUGAAAAUUUCUGAAUUACACAUUACAAUGUUGCCAGCAGCUUCUACAAAAACAACUUGAAAUAAACAGAAUCAUUGAACGUGAUGAUCUAUGCCAUCAACCACAACCUAGGCUGAGGUGGUAUUGUUGAUGGAAUUGUUUUGGUGGAGAUAGUUACUGAGAUGUAACAAGAGAAUAUUUCUCCCAAUAAACAAAAUUAAAAGACAACGUUACCUACUCUUUGAUGAGGUCUCAAGUUUUGAUUAUACUAUAAAAGAUUAGGAUUUGAAUUUUUUUUUUUUUUUUAUUUUCUAUGUUUAUAUCGAAGUUAGUUUAUCCUUAUUUUUCUUGUUUACGAAUAGUUAUACAAGGACUUAAUAAACAAACCUUUUCCAUAUCUGUACAAACAAGAAUGAUUUUAUAAUUACUCAUCGAGACAGAAAACAAAAACAAAAAACAUUUUCUAAUGACAGGCACUGUUAGCUUCAGUAGGAUAGAGAUGCAAAACGUCCAAUUAUAUCUCAAUCAAGACACAAUUCUUGUGCAUGCCAACUGGUUAAGCAUCAAACACAACCACCUUGAUAUUUUUCUGUAAUCAACCAACAACAACAAUAGUGGUAAUAAUAGUAGUAGAAGAAGAAAAUGAGUUUACAUAUCAAAGAAACUCUGCUUCUGAGGAAGUGACUUCUUUUGAAACAAAUCAGAAACAUAAAUAACAGCUUUGCCAAUCUAUUAUCAUAUAUUCUCUACGUUUAUGUAAUAAUAAUUUGGUAUGUUUUUCUUUAAGCUAACGGAGUCAAAGAAUCACAUUUCUUGGGGGACAAUAGUUUUCAUGGUCCAAUGAAUGAGUCAGCAAUGAGUAGGAAAAAAAUGUAUUACAGUUGGUUCAGAAUAGUCAUCCAUUCUGCACUUGUGUUGGUGUGUGGAUCAGCUGCGACACUCCUUGGAAGAUUGUACUAUGAAAAAGGUGGAAAGAGUAAAUGGAUGGGAACACUUGUUCAACUUGGUGGUUUCCCUAUUUUGCUUCCUUAUUACUUCAUCACAGCACCCAAAAAUUUGACCACAAACAACAGCAUUCAUCCAAAUCAGCCAUCUGCUACAAUGCUAGCAUUUGUCUAUGUCUCAAUUGGCCUGCUUCUGGCAUUAGGUUUUUAUUUAUAUUCAGUCGGGCUAUGGUACCUUCCUGUCUCAACCUAUUCACUCAUUUGCUCAUCCCAGUUGGCUUUUAAUGCUUUAUUCUCAUACUUCCUCAAUUCACUCAAGUUCACACCUUACAUGGUAAGCUCUUUAGUCCUUCUCACCAUUUCCUCUACCCUUCUUGUAGUUCAAAACGAG
rnacentral:lncRNA from 1 species